CCUUUGGGAAGUUCGGCUAAAGUCGGAACGUCCUGUUCCAACGCCGAACUGACCAGCUUCCUGCUGG
rnacentral:sRNA from 1 species